UACGUAGGUGGCAAGCGUUGUCCGGGAUUAUUGGGCGUAAAGCGCGCGCAGGCGGCCUUUUAAGUCUGAUGUGAAAGCCCACGGCUCAACAGUGGAAGGUCAUUGGAAACUGAAAGGCUUGAGUACAGAAGAGGAAAGCGGAAUUCCACGUGUAGCGGUGAAAUGCGUAGAGAUGUGGAGGAACACCAGUGGCGAAGGCGGCUUGCUGGUCUGUAACUGACGCUGAGGCGCGAAAGCGGGGGGAGCAAACAGG
rnacentral:rRNA from 1 species